GGAGGGUAUAGCUCAGCGGUAGAGUGCAUGCUUAUCAUACAUGAAGUCCUGGGUUCAAGCCCCAGUACCUCCA